GACGAACGCUGGCGGCGUGCUUAACACAUGCAAGUCGAGCGGAGAGGCGAACGGGUGAGGAACGCGUGAGUAACUGCCCCCCUCUCUGGGAUAACAGUUGGAAACGGCUGCUAAUACCGGAUCGUGGGGGAUGACUCGCGUGCUAUCGGCGUGUUGGGGGGGUAGUGGCCGACGAGGGCGACGACGGGUAGCCGGCCUGAGGGGGCGACCGGCCACAUUGGGCUGAGAUACGGCCCAAACUCCUACGGGAGGCAGCAGUGGGGAAUAUUGCACAAUGGUGGAAACCCUGAUGCAGCAACGCCGCGUGCGGGAUGACGGCCUGCGGGUUGUAAACCGCUUUCAGCCAUGACGCGGUAGUGGCAGAAGAAGCACCGGCUAACUACGUGCCAGCAGCCGCGGUAAUUC
rnacentral:rRNA from 1 species